UCCCUUAGUAACUGCGAGUGAACUGGGAAAAGCUCAAAUUUAAAAUCUGACGGUCGUUGACUGUCCGAGUUGUAAUCUAGAGAAGUGUUGCCCGUGCUGGACCAUGUACAAGUCUCCUGGAAUGGAGCAUCACAGAGGGUGAGAAUCCCGUCUUUGACAUGGACUACCAGUGCUUUUUGGUAUGCUCUCAAAGAGUCGAGUUGUUUGGGAAUGCAGCUCAAAAUGGGUGGUAAAUGCCAUCUAAAGCUAAAUAUUGGCGAGAGACCGAUAGCGAACAAGUACCGUGAGGGAAAGAUGAAAAGAACUUUGGAAAGAGAGUUAAACAGUACGUGAAAUUGCUGAAAGGGAAACGCUUGAAGUCAGUCACAUUGACUUGGAAUCAACCCUGCUUUUGCUGGGUGUACUUUCUUGUC
rnacentral:rRNA from 1 species